AGAAAGUCUUCAUACUCUACAGCUGUGGACUUGCAGUUCUUGGAAUGUGUAAUCUUCCAUAAAGGAAGAUUAUUGAGAAGAACUUGAUAUUACAGGUCUUCUGCUGAGCCUAUUUCUUUCUUCUAUGAAGACAGUGCUGACACCCGUCAAGAUUUGAGAGCUUCAUAUCUUUCUACAUGUGAAUUUAACUUCAUGAUCAGUAUAAGAUCAGACAGAAGACAAGGUGGUGGGAAUUAAUGGUGAUGUCUAGAUAAAUCACAGUUCCUCCCUCAAACAGUCAAAAAUUUAUCAUCUGUAAAAGAGGAACAGAUCUUGCGAUUCCACAUGCACUACAAGCCACAUAACCUACCACGGAGAUUCUGACCUAUUUUCUCUUAUCUGGGAAUCAUUAAUACCAAUAUGACUUGGAAGACUGGAAGAAACAGAUGAAAGAGAAGCCUUGAAUUUCAUUCCAAGUCUUGGCUGUCAGCUUAAGGUACCUGUGAUUCCCAGUCAAGCCUCAUGGUCUACUUGUGCUAUUCCAACCAUUAGUAAAUACUCUUAAUUGCAUUUGUCUUCCUUUGAGAAGAGUUUUCUUGAGUCGUUUUGACCCCUCAUGGAACCUGUGAGCCGGAGGCCGAAGGACUCCCGUUGCCGGCGAGGAAUAAUGUAGAAGAAGUGCCAUGCUGGGCCACAAAAGGUGUGAUUUCAUGCUGUCCAAGAACCCGCUGCAGCCUUCAGAUGUCUUUUGCUGGGCACUCCUGAAUCAAAUAUUCAGGUAAAGCGCUGUUACAUUCACCUUGUAAAACAGAGGAAGAAAUCCAAUCUUGAAGACACAGAAGUCUCAAUUUUGGAACAGACUCCGCUCAGCAAGCCCUCCUGACCCUGUGGCUUUGGCACAGCUUUGCAGUGCACCUUUCUCCAUAUGCUUCCUCUUGGCUUUGCACAGAAGUAUGGCAGAAGGAACCACUUCUUGGCAAAGAAUGUAGACAUCAGCGGUCACUAUCCAGCAUGGAUCUUUCUGGAGAGACCUUUUAAUUUGACGUACGCUACAGGGCUAGCUUAGCUGAUUCUUGCUUUGUAAUAGAUAGGCGCUGGAGAAACAUGCAUGAAGCACAUUCCCCUGAGCCACCUGCAAUAUGGCUUUGAGGGCUCUUGCCUUUUAUAAAACUGCUGAGAGCUCCAUCAACCGACUGCACUGAGCAUGCAGGGUUCUGGAGCAUGAGAUGGUCUGCAGUUGUGUGCAGCCCAGGCAUGACCACCUUUUAAGUUACUCUUAUCCUAGCACACGCUCCAUGGGUAGCAGCCUUGUACCCUGUUCCUCCCUCAUCGUGGGAGCAUCUGCACUUGUCAGAUACGCCAGAGCGUUUGACACAUACAUUUGCCUGGUGAGUAAGCACAUGCGAUUUCAUGUCAAGGAAUUUUAUAGCUUGAGAAGUAUUUUAAGAAGUGGAUUGGAGAAAAGCCCUAUCACUCCUCCCUCUGCAAGUCCCAGUCAGGCAAGCAUGGGCCCUGCAAGAAGGGGUGUGCUAUACCACUGUAAAAGCUGGUGUAAGGAGGGCAUUUCCAGUGCACCCGAACAAAUUCUGGUAAGCCAAAAUGCCUCCCUCCUCUAAACUUUGAUGAACCCUGUAGGAAGGGACAUAUCAGUAUGGGAAAUAAGUUCUAUCUGUCUAGCAUGGAUCUAUUUCUGCUAGAAUACUAGGAAAGUUCAUCAUAAUUAUAAAAAAAACCAUAAGAACACGUACUGAACUUUCUACUGGACCAGCAAGGAGAAGUGGGGCUAUGAAUGACCUCAGAUGGCUUAGCCAUUAUCUGACUUUUACUCUAAUUUUAUUCAUGGAAAACUUGUUUUUCCCUCUGUGCAGUACAAAUAAGCAGUCACCUACAACAUUAAAUAAUGAAAUUCAAAUGUACUGAGUUAAUCACUGGAAAAGUGCUUCAUCUGAAAACUCCAUGGGGGAUCACGUUUCAGAACACAAGUGUCCUUGUACAGUAUGCAUUUCCUCUUUCAUUCAUAGGUUUGCUCAUGCAGAGAUUUGGAGUAAUAUUGAAUUACUGCCUGAAGUCAUGCCUGCCUAUCUCUUUCAUUAAUUACCUUGCAUGGCUUUGGGACAGAUUAACUGAUAAAUAUAUGAAUCCCUGGUGUAGUAACCUUUUCUGUGUACUUAGAAUAACUGAUAGGCAUGUAAUCUCAGAAUCUACAAAAACUUUUUUCCUUCUCACAGAUUUCUACUAUGCUCUUGCUGAGUUGCCUUCCACCUGGCAGUGUUGUGGUUGCUAAAAAUGCUACUAACCUGACAAUUAGGAACUCUACAACAGAAUUCAAAUUUUCAGUCCAAAAGAAAGAUCGAUAAGGCUUUUCAUAGAAUAUAUUUGUUUCUUUUUUUGCAUGUUAUUAUUAAAGAUGGAAGAAACUUCAUAAUGCCCUGUAUAAUCUUCUCUGGGCAUCGGAUGGUUCAGAGUAGGCUAAGAAAUGCAAAUCAACCAACCAUUUUUCUGGGGUUUUUUUGUUUGUUUGUUUUGGAAAAUGUCUCAGAAACUGGUCAUUCUGGAAGAGUAAUUACACUGUCUUAAAAAAAGGGUCUAGUUUUUGAUGCAGCUGUAUUUCGUGUUUCUCUCCUCUGCCCUUCAGCAAACUAGUUGUUGCAAAUUAUUUGACCAGUGGAGCUCCUUUUUCUGUGUGCAAAGAUUACUCAUAGAUUUGUUUUAAUUUUUUAAAUUUUUAGUGUGACAUUAUUCAGUGAGCAGCACUUCAGAUACCAUUUCAGCAUCUAGAGAGCAGGUGAAUUCUUUGCUUUAAUUAUCUAUUGUUAGGUGUUCUUGCUGCAUAAUCUAGCUAGUGAUCUAGCUAGACAGUAUUACUGGAUGGAAACCUUGUGUUGCUUGAAAUGUGUAUUCCCAUAAACUUUGCUUUUGUCGCCACUGCCAGUCAAAAGAAUUGGUUGAUCAUAGUCUGAGGAAACAAAAUAAGACCAGAUAUCAAUAUUCUAAACUAUGUAUACAGAUUUCUCUGAAUUGAUGUUUUUGAGCACUCCUUUCUUAGGCCAUUGUAUAGAUAUAUGUAAUCAAAUCUAAUAAUUUAUGAUAAGACCAUCUUGUUUACCAGGAAAUGAUCUCAAGCGAACAAGUCAUUUCACUAAUGCCAUUAUAUCAGGUCAGAUGGUAACUAUCCCCAUUCACUGGAUUGGAUCUGAAUUGGUUAUCUAUAUCCAUUUAUCAUUUCCUUGAUAACCUCAACCUCCAUACCCACAGCAUCUUUACUAUUAGAGUUGCUCUCACAUACGCAGUAUCUUUUUUACAAUUUCCUUCAGUUUGUGUAAUUAAAAGGAUCGUUUCAGAACCAUCAAGAAAGAAUAUAAAAGGCAGUUCAGAUGAUGCUAAUGGAGGAAGAGGGAAUUGCAGAACAUUUCAUUCCUCUGGUAAAACUGUACCUGAACAAGUCACAGUAUUGCAUCCAAAUAGGUAAUUAUGCAUAUAUAGAUAUCAGGCAUAAAAGAUUCUAGGCAAGAUCCAUGGAUGGUGCUAAAAGAAGCUGAGUUGCAAGGAUAGGGUUUUUGAAUGCAUUUGCUACUGAUAAGGUUGACUGUAAAGGGGAGGCACUGCUUUGGUUGAAACAUUAAAGGCCCAGUCUUAAUAAACACAUAUGUGAGACAGAAAGGUAUACUGGAAGUAUAGGGACAGCCAAUUGCAAAGCUUCAAAGCUUUGAAUAUGAAAGAGAACUAUGGGAAGGGGAGAGCGAUCAGUCUUUUUGAUUUAUUAAUCUUCUUUGACACUGAUAUGGAAUUUCCUUCGCUAGAAGAUAUUUAGAAAAUUACCAACAAGACUAUGUAUGUCCAUGAACUAUGAGAGUAAUACUGAUAGUCUGUAGUUCCUUAGGAUGAGGAGAGCUUGGGUUGAACGAACACCCGUGAUAUAAGCAAGUCAGUUUAUAGCAGCCUCUAUACUCUUGAGCCUGAACGCUCCUAUUGCUAAGCAUCCAUAUAAUUUAUGCCUAUAGAAGUACAAUUCCUCAGAGUAUUUUUUUUCCAUCUGUUCAGCUUGAAUGGAGAACAUUUGUUAAAUGAUGUUUGGAGAGAUGCUGGCAGUAAAAUACAUGCCCACCCUGAUGCUAGGCUAGUUAACUGGUCUUUCUAGGCACAAAGCUGAUAUUGUUAGAUGGCACAGCACUUGAACAACUACAAAUACGAGAGAGUACAUUUUCUUCUUUUCUUACAAAAUUUAAGUAUUCUUUGUGAUUGUUCUUUUAAAAAUAAUUAAGAUAAAUAACUAAAUACCCACUUAGAAUAAUUAAAAGUAGUCACAGUCCACCUGUCAGUUGUAUAAAAUUAGAUUAAGUUCAGUCAUUGCAGUCUGAUACUUUUUCAGACUCAAGAAGCCAGAACCAUGUAAACAUUGAAAGUAAUUAUGUCUCCCUCUCCCCUUCUUUUUCCUUUUUUUUUUCCUUUCUAAUGUUAGUUGUUACAGAAAAGAGUCAACUUGAGUUUCAGAGAGUCUGCCAAAAAGCCUCUGGCCUUCCCUGGGGGAUUGAAUUUUACAUUCUUCAGCAAACAAUGUCUGCCUCCAGAAAUGCAGGAGGAAAACUCUAUUUUUCUUUUUCAUCUAAUAUCAAUGUCUAAGCCUAACAGAGCUCUGAUUUUUUAUUUUGAAGCCUGAGGAACAUCUUGUGUUGAUGUUAGUAUGUGCCUUUUUAAGCUUCAUUUGUUAUCUUUAAGCAGCUGUUAAAGCGUAAACAAGUUCUUUUUCUUUUCUGUGUUAAAAAAGGCUUUAAACUUAUCCAAGAGCUUCACUGCUAUUGUGUUUAUUGGGCUAUGCUAACAGCAAUGAAAGAACAUUAUUGAAUGCAGCAAAUGUUUGGUUUAUUUCAAAGCCUUUCUAAACUAUAAAUCAUCCACAUUUCAGCCUUCUUCUCUUUUUCCUUAGUAGUACAAAAUCAAAUCAAACCAGUAAGCCAGGAGAUAGUUACAUAAGAAGAGUUUAUCUCUGAUUUUUUUCAAGUAUAAUAAAGAAGGAAUGUCAUUUCUGUGAUAGUGACUUUACAUAUGUAACUCAUGUAUGAGCUAGACUUUUGUAAGUGAUGUGUAUAUGCAUUUUAAAUGAGGCCUGAUUUUUCAAAAAGCAGGAAGUGCACAACUUUGUUCCUUUUAAGGUAAAUCAAGCUGAAAUCUGACCUUUUUGGAUUAUUUACAUACAGCAAAUAUGCACAUCUCCUUUUCUCCACAUUACCCCACCUCUAUAUUUCCCUGCCAGACCACAAAGACUUUUAAAAGUUAAAAAAUGAGAAAAAAGGAGUGAUCUGAGACAUUUCGAACUCAAAUUUUGCACAUCACUGAGGAGCCUGAAUUUCAGAGGUCAGCCAUGCAACAGAGAAGUGUGUGUGUGUAGAGACAGAGGGCAGCAAGUGACUUCAAAACUGGAACUGUUUAGCACCUCCAUUGUUGGACGCCCCCCUCCAGCAAGAUCACUACCACCGGAUACGGUUAGAUCGGUUGUUCCUCCGUACUCGCCGCUGCACUGCCCCAGCACCUUCUGCAGGGCUUUGGACGCUCACCACAGCUUUGGCCUGCCCAUGUGCAGUUGGGUAUCUGGUUUGGAAUGAAUGUGGGUGUUGACAUACUUGUUUUAUAUUUAUGUUGGAAAAUAGAGGGGUUAAAGAAAUAUGCCUUGUGCUGGAGCUAAAGGCAGUUUGUUUAUGAAACAAGCUCCCUGAAGAAGCUUUGUUUCCUGAAGAUUGCUAGAAGGUGGUACGGAAAAGCAUUACACCAGCUGCAAACCUCCGAGGGACUACCAGCUUUUGAGAGUGAGAGUGUGUGUGUGUGUGUGUGUGUGUGUGUGUGUGUGCGCGUGCACGCACGUGUGUGCAUGUGUGUGUUUGGGGGUGGAAUAAAAGCUGCUGGCAGGGUUUACUGCAGGAGAGAGGGAAAAAGAAACCACUGUAAGGCUCAAAUGAGCCUCCCAAAUAGAGGUGUGAUUUGUCACAGGAUCUGCUCUUCGCUACUGAACUAACUUUUCUUUCUUUCAGCCACCUGAGAUGUUUCCUGCGCUUAAACCUUCCUGGGUCCCUAGAAGUACCCUAUAGGAAACUCUAUAAGUUUCUACUCUUUUUUUUUUUUUUUAACUUACAGUGUUUUGACUGCAUAGAACAUAUUUAGCAAGCAUCAGGAGAGCAUGAGAACAUGCCCUAGUACGAUAUGGAGUUUGGAAGCUAUCUUAAAUAUCAGAAACACAAGUAAACUUCUAUAAUUUUAACUUGAAUGUUUUGCAGCAUCAGGGACACAUGCUGGGUGUUGACUUUUCUAUCUUAAAGCGGUGCUUUUUUCCACCUAGUAGGGUCUAGCUGAUUUGGGGAUUGUUUGCCACUCAAAGGUGUAACAAAUAAUAUUGUUCUGUUAUUUUGCCUGUACUGCAAACUAUUAUUGAGAUGGAUUACAAACUGCAAAAGUUGCAAAGCGUUUGCUCAUUCUUAGAUCUCUUUUGGGUUACAGGCAGGUUGAAAAUCCAAACUCAACAAGCACAAGGGAAUCACUUGCAGUUUACUCCAUGACACUAAGAUAAAUGUUAGAACCUCUAGAACGGUACAGCUGAAAGGCAUGUUUAUAGGCAUCCCAGGUUUUGUCCUACUGAUUCUGUUUGCCAUUUUGGAAACAGUUACGAGGAGCUGCCUUAGCAGAUCCUCAACGAAUCUGAGUGGGGACGAGAGGUCCGGCCUGGGAGCAUGUGCCAGGGUGAUGCUUUGCCACCUGCAUUCUGACCUCAUCAGAUUUUCUAGCCUCCAGACGGUGCUGCAGAAAACAGUCGGCUGAGUGAUUUAAUACACAAUUUUCUCCCCUCCGAGCCUCUGCGGAUUUCAUUUCACAGUAGGGGGCACUGUGCUGCUGGAGUUUGUCAUCCUGAGAAAAGCUGCGUGAACUCCGGGUUUCCCAGAGGCAUAAAGAUUCCCGGGCACUCUUCAAAGUUACAAUUUUAGCUACAGUCUCUACGCUCAUGCCUAAUUAAGGUUUUCUUCAACCUGCCACAUGCUGGAAGGGGGCCGAAGUAUGCAUACAUAUAGAAGGGGCUGUGUAACUGGAAAAUGAGAUUUGUCAAGAUUUAGUAUCUACAUGUGCGAACUGAGAUCAAAUAGAACGUUUUUAUUUACAAGGAAGCUGCUGUGCUUUUUCCCUGAGUAAGAAGGAUAGUGUUUUAGGGAGUGCUGAAGCUGUCUCUGGGGACUUGGAUUCUGUUUCUGCCUCAGGAUCUUUCUGCCCUAGGGCAAGUAUUUUACACAGCCCUGUUCCUCAGUGACCGUCUGCAAAAUGAAGGAGGAUGUGUGGACAACACAGAGUGUCACAUAGCCUUGACACAACAGGCCAAUCGCUAAUGUAAAGCAGUGUAGCUACCAAUUUGUGCACCCUGAGGAUUGGACCCAAAAAGCAGCAAUCUCACUCAGGGAUUAGCUGUAUAAUCUGCAAGUUGGAGCCACCAGUUUAAACUGAAAUGUGUAUACUGGAAUGGUGUAUGUAAGCUGUAUGAACUGGCUACGACAUUUUUGCCUCUCCCAUGAGAACUGCAAGCUCUGAUCACUCAAAUUACAGUUCUUAGAAGAAUAACAAGACUCGGAUGCAGAUCUCAGGUCAGAUGUUCUGAUUUGGAGCAAGGAUUGAGCCUUGGUUCUUCCUGCCACAGCUGAGAACGAGAGCCUGAUGCUUUUUAUUCUGAAGAAAAUCUUACUCUUCAAGUAAUCUCAUGGACUCCAGUGUGACUAUGAAUGGGCGGAUCCUCUCAGCAGCACUGAAACACUGUGGCUGGGUUGGGAGUGCUGCUGCCCAAGAAGUAUCAACUGUUUCCAAGUGUGAGAGCAGGAGGCACCUUUGAAGGCCAGGAGGGGGGACUCAGCGCAGCAGGUGGCUUAGAAAACUUGAGCUCAUGGGGAUGCCAGUUCUGUGCUAUGGAAGCAUUAGCAUCAACGUCAGCACGACACAAUUUAGCCCUUAUAGCAGUAGGUGAAGUCUCCUGAUGUGUUGAGGGGAAAUCCACAGAAGACUGAAACCUUUUCCUCCUUGGGCCAAGAGGAAGUCUCCGUCCACAGCAUGUGGAAUAUUUCUAAUGUGCAACCCAAACAUAAUAAAGGUGUGAAGGCUAAAAAUGGGAACACCUACCACAACUCCAACAGCCAAAGCAAACAGAAAAGAGCUCAGUACUUACGGCUUCCAAUAGCUUGCUCCUCAGACCUUUUCAUAUUUCGCUGGCAUUCUCACAGACACUGGCCCAUGUACAUAGCAAACCCCAAAUGGAUUUUAAACCUAACCUAGAAAAGAAAAGCAAAAGCCUUAUGGAUCAGAGGCAGCUGCCUGGCCCUAGAUUCUGUACUAUAUUAACAUAUUUUCACUUUUUUUUGUUUUUUUUUAACGUUUCUUUGGUUUGGGAGGGGGAGUUGGUUUUUGUUUCAUCCUCUCCUAUUCUUUUGUCUGUCUAAAUUUUCCAAACUACUAAACAAAAAAUCGGAUCAUCAGUUUUGUUUUACUCUGUUUUAUAGUCCACUGAGAGAAGCUAUAAAACUUAAAUUAAUUUUUUGGCUUCUCAUUUUAAUUCUUAAAAGAGCAAACAACCAAACAAAGAAUUAAUGUGAGCAAUGAUCCGAUUUUUCCAGCAGCAUUGCAAUUGUUCUGCACAUCAGUGAGAAUAUUAGAAUGCUGCUUGAUUUGAUGUUUCAAAUUUGCUGAGAUUAUUCUUUGAGAAAAUCUCAACAAGUGGAUUGUCUUUACUAUACUCUCAACAUUCACAGCAAAAACUUCUUUGCUACAUUUUCAUCUAGAAAAUAUAAGAAGUUAAGGUUAUUAUGUUGAUCUAGAACAGUAGAAGGAUGAUGCUUGUGGAUCUGUCUACCCACUUGAAUAAAAAACUGAACUGAGAUCUAUUUGGCAACCACGUACAAACCAUGUAAAAUCUCUCCAUGCGCUGGUUAUUGCAGAUAAUUGAAUACAUUCAGAAGAAAAAAGUAGCUUCCCACAGAGAGGCUGACAGUGCAACAACAAACCACUGACUUUUGUCCCCACCUGUUCAUAUUUGCAGACAUAUUGCAUAGGCAUAUCUUGCUGCUCAAUCGUAUUAUGAGCGUUCUUGGCUACAGUGCAGCAAGUUUGUCUAAAAAAUGAUUUUUCAGAAAUAAUUCGUGAACUGGGUAUGUCAGUUUUUAUGUUCCUGCUUUAACUCCAAGGUCAAAAAUUCCUGAGCACACAAACCUAUGAGAAGAUCAUAUUAAAUUUCUUUUAGUAAGGAAAAUGGCACCCAGGUUACAUUUGAAUGCAGGUUGGGAAUUAGGAAGUUUUUUUUCAGCCUGAUUUAACUCUUCUAAGCUAAAAGGAACCAUACAGAUUCUCCUAACUUUGAGCUUAGUAUGGAGCUGUAAAAAUCAUGCUUAAUUUUAAAAGAACCUUCGUCUCAGCCACAAAUUCUUUUUUUCAUAUAUAGUGGAAUCUCAGAUCUCAGGGGCUGAUCUGGAAAAGCAUUCAUAUGACGGUUUGAUUUUGGUCCCACUGGGGCCAGUUCCUGAAAACAUAAAGUUAAUCAUACUACUUUAUUGGAUCUAGACCAGAGCACCCGGUCUUGAAGAUGGAUGUGUACAUGCCAUGCUCUGUUCAUACCUGAAAAUGAGGUAGGCUUGGCUUACAAGCUCCAUAUGCCACUUGGCUAUUUUAGGACAGGUUAGGGGCCAGUAUUGUCGGGGUUUAUUGUGUGAAAAAAGGUCAGAAGUUUGCCUGCUUGCUCAAACCAGCAAAAUCUGUUUUUAAUCCGUGAAAACACAUCCAAAAGACCAUUGCUGAAAAAAAGGUAUGUCAUAUUUUUCCUGAUCACUGUUUUCCUGAGACAAGUUUCUUAUUCAAAACGAUAUCCACUCCUUUGUUUAUAGGACUUUACAGAAGAAUUUACACAGGUUAGUGAGAGGACGGACUACACCCAUACACAGAAACACAGAAUCCAUUAAAGCACAGGAGGCUCUGCUGGUUCCCCUCCCCAGCUGCUACCAAGUUUAUUUCCAGCCUGUGGCCUGAAACAGGGGCUGUGGCCCAUCUGCACCCCUUAUGUGGGAAUGCUUUUCCAAUAUAGCUGCAUGAGUGUGGAUUCAGGAGACCCUCCUGUAACCUCCUCUCAAAGCCCCCUCCAUGCUGACCUAAUUGGAGCCAGAGCAGACUCCACCAAGCACCGUGGUGUUGGGGCUCCUCUGCACAGCUGGUUCUCUGACACCCCUGCGGUUCCCUCCCUCCGCCAGCUCACCAGCAUCCCUAGCACAGCAUAACCGUGGGGUUAAGCAGCAGAGCAAACUUUGUGUGGGCCCCUCUGCAUGGAGGAAAAUUUCACCCUUAGAGAAAACCGAGUUUCAUGCUGGAUAGUGGAGCAGGAGCGGAAGAUCAAAGAGGAGAAUUCUGGUUGCUGCAACACAUGGCCUGGAUACACAUCUUUCCCACUUAAGCUGCAAAACUCACACUCGCUCCACAAAGGCAUUGGCAUUGAAGGGAUGUCGUGAGUAAGCAUAUCAAGAAGAAAAAUCAAAGAGAAAUAUUGAAAUAGAGGCACGGAAAGGAGAUGGUAUUGCUUAAAUCAGACCUCAUUCCUAUAUUGUCUUCUGCACAGGAGAAAAAAGUUAGUUUGUUUUUAUAUUUUGGGCCUGAGUGGAAGAUGUUGGGAAGGUCUGUCUUAGAGUGAUGAGGGCAAAGACAUCUUCUCUUUUAAACCUCUCUUAAAAGGAAAAGGGCAGGCGUGGGAGGAAACCAAAAAGGGGAGAUAAAAAUUAGCAGUUCUAUCUCCAAGGAAAUGCUUUUGAGAAUGGGUGGGUCCUGAGAAAACAAGAGCUAAGGUUUGGGGGGGUUCUUUCCAUACAGAUAUGAUAAUAGGUAUUUAAAAAGGCAGUAAUUCUGUGGCAUAUAUGAACAAUUAGGACUAACAAAGGACAACACUUCAGAAUAAAUGGUUGUAUAUGAAACACAAGCGGGGCAAAUAUCUGCAAGCAAUCUAUCUCUACAUUCAGAAGUUUUCAGACAUUUUAGAAGAGGUAUAAACCCCCACUUGCCUAUGUAUCUGUCUGUGGCUCAGCUGAAAAUCUGGCCUCCAAGACCAUCUCUGUCCGAAGCUGAGGUCACAUUUAAAGUAAGCAAUCAGCUGUGGAUUGAAAAUAACACAGUCACAUGCUCAAGAAGAGGAGAAAGUGAAGAUCAUUCACUAUGGCUUUGAGCUUCAGGUUUGCUUCACUAACGUUAACUUCCUCAAGGUCUUUUUGAUGUGAUACUUCUCUGUUCUUUUUCAUAUCAACUAAUUUUUCCCUGAAGAAAAAGUUCAUCUUUGUCCAAUAAAAAUAUUUGAGUGUGAAAUUUAUGGUAUGCAAAAGCAUGUUAAAUUUGGCAAAAGUGCUUUUACUCAAGUAAAUGCAGACUUCUUGAGGUCUAAUUCAUGGCUGUGGGAACUUCUGCCCUGGCCCCACAUUCCAUGUUUUUCUCAAGAUGUGGAGUUAGUCCACACCAUUGCUCCAGGAGGAGUAAGCCCCUCUCCCCUUAAUGUAUUUUGGUAUUCUGGAGAGACCUCCACAGACAUCCCUUUAAAACUCUCAAAUCUCAACAUUUGGAUGUGAGAACUCCUGGUUCUCUUCCUCUUCCUCUUCCUCUAUUUCAAGUCCUCUGAGGCAAGCAGAGGAUAUAAGCAAUGGAAGGUGGGUGCUCUCAAACAAUAUUCUCUAAUGUUGGCAUGAAAAAAAGCUAUUGUUCACUGGGGUAUUAGCUACUACCUUCACUACCUUUUUUUUUUUCCCCUAUUACCAUUAAUAUUGAAUAAAACUUUAUUUCUAAGAUUUGGAGAGAGGAAAGAUGGUUUUAAUAUUGGCUUUAAUUAUGCAUUUUGCCUCAAGCCACUGACAUGAACACGUAUUUGCUCAAGAUUCACCGGAGAAGUGGCUGAGAGCACCCAAAAAUUUUGACUGGAAUUUGAUUCACAUUCAUGUCCAAGAAUUCAGAUGAUCAUCUUAUCAGAACAAGUAAAGACUUAAAACAUUGAACUGAAAAUCUUGCAAGAAUAAGCUUUCUUGUGGUAUUUACAAAAAAUUUUGGUUGAAACAAAAAUUCCAGGGAAGCUAACUUCCUCUUAUAAUUUUACCACUUCUAUUUUAAAUUUAGGAACUGAAAGCAAAAGAAAUAACUUAAAUCUUUUGGCUUUUUAAUCCAAAUGUCCCUAACUAAGUAACUUGGCCUUGUAUUCACUAUAGAAAAAAUGUUCUGCAGAGGUUUAGAAUUAACCUCAACCAGCUAACUUGUGUGACAGCUACAAAUUUGUGUUUCUAGGAUUCCACCUCAAGUAAAUACUUGUUAAGCAUAUGCAUUUUUUUAUAGUGAUGACAGAGUCAAAAUGACUGCUUUCUCUCUGCCGUAUGUAUCUUGGAGCUAGAUUUUUCUUAUGAACUCUGUGGAAGCUUGUUACCAUGUUAAAUGCCCAGCUUUCAUUAAAUACAAACCUGAAGGAAGACAGGCAGAAAAGAGAAGAUUCCAGUUGUGGCAGAAACUGUAUCUAAUAUUAUUGACUAGAACCUGCCUUCUGUGAGUGCAACGCUCCGCCUGUUGCCUAUGUAUUUCUGUGACUCUCAGGAGCACUGAAACCUACAGAACAUGGGGAACUCGUGUGAUUCAUCCCAUUGGAACUGGGUGGACAGGAACAAGCCCUGCACUUAAUAUUGCUCUCUGUGGGACAGGACUGUAACCAUCCAGUCAUGUGAAUUUUCAGCCCACCCAGCUUGACUGAGUGUAAGAAUUUGUCUGGAGGCAUCCUGGGAGAGGCUUUCUUCUGAAACACCUGGUGCUUGCUGCUUUUGCUUGAGCAUCCUAGAAAUUCGGGGAACUUCUUGAUUUCGAAGCUCCUUCCCUCUUUUGUGGCUUCCUGGCAUAAGUGGCCACAGCAAACCACCGUUGGAGAUCCAGGAGUAAUUCUUCACCACAGGCCUAACGGUCCCUAUAGUUGGUUUCAGUUGGCUGAAGGGUGGGUUUGUGAGCAAGGCUUGACAGGCUUGCUACUGAAGAAAGCACCAAAGGAAUUUGAGAGUGGAACCAGGGUACAGAUGCCAAUGGCAAGGGUCAGCUGCCUCAGAUUUUCUGCUGCUCCUGCGGGCAUUUCGGCUACUAAUACGUUCAUUAUGAGCUACACAUGAACAUCACUGUGAACAUGUUUAUGUUGAUAUGACUUCAGGACACGCAAUGUAGAAGUGGGAAACAGCAAGGAGUAUGCUGUUGCUCACAAGAUCUUUGUCUCAGGGACCAUUCUGGCAAUAUUUCCCAGUGGCAAUGGUAAUCCAUGAAGCUGCCAAGCAUACCUUCUGAACGAAGGCCAAAGGCUUAAAUCAGAAAAUGGAGACAGCAUGCCUGUCAAUGUCUGCCAAAGUAGCAGAGAAAAUGUUGCUGGCAGUGGGAGAUGUGGAGAAGAGAACCACAGACCUACAGCACUCUGGAUAUGCAUCCUUAGCUCUGCUGCUACUAUCAUGACUCCAAUCAACCAUCCCUUCCUAUCACAUCCCGCCACCGUUGUCUUUUUUUUUUUUUUUCCCCUGUGUUGUUCUCAGGCCAGCAGCUAUGUGUAAACAGGAUGUGGGAACUGUACUGAAAUGUAUUCAAGUCCUAUACACCUCCGUCCUCACCUCUGGCUGCAGUGUGCAUCCUGCCUAGAACAUCUGCUUUGGAUAAAUAUAGGGAGAGUUCAAACUGUGCCGAGAAGGGCACCACUUGGAAGUCUUUGGACACUUUUCUCCUGCUGUCUGUAUUUUUUAACAUUUAAAAAUACGAGAAAAGCUUUUAACUUCUAACUGGAGGUUAGGUUUCCUGAAAAUUGCUGCUGUAUAUUUGUGUAUAACAUAUAUGCAUAUAUUAAAUAUUUAAAAGAUA